rnacentral:other from 1 species
AAUUUCCUGAGAUGCUCGACAACCUAUUAUUUUGAACCUACAUCGAGUAAAAGGGAGUCCUAAUCGCCGCGUGUACGCCGGGCCUUGAAAGUAUCCCGGGGGUUAUCCCACCGGGUCGGAGGAAUGCGGAAAGGCAGCUGCGGGCACCCACCUAUCAUUUUGAUAGGUGUCAAAAUAUAGGCCGGCAUUUUGGGGUUUUA